UUCUGUAAUACAUCCAGCUGAAUCAUGUUUCCAUAUACAUGUUUCUCCAAUGACUCUGUAUCGGUCCAAAAACCUACGUAUAAUCUCAUAUCAAGAAAUAACACAACUCCGAAAUAAAUUGCAAGGGCUCGACCACGCCGUGCUAGUUCGUUUAUUACCCACAAACGUGUCCAAUACUCUUAUACAUCAACAAACAUGUACACCACUCUCUGAAUUUAAUCACCAAAGUCUAAGAAAAUAUUAAACCCAUGAUAUAAAAAUUCCUCCUUCUCCCCUUGUUCCUGACAAUACACUGCAACAAUUCAAAAUACAUACUCGUAAAAAAAAAUACGGAACUCUAGCACAAGUGUUUAGCCUUCAACAUGGUCUGGCUGAAUGAACAAUGCACGUGCGCUUCCUGCACACCUGAUUUCUUACUCAGGAACUUUCGGCACUUUCCGCUACCCGACACGGGUAAGCCACCCAGCGGCCCUCUCCAUAAUAGGAGAAAACAAUUUCAUUCUAAUUCAUUGCAUUCAACCGAAAGAAAUUAUUUCUUUGUUCAUCUUUUCCUGGUAUGGAGCUUCAUUGGCAAAGGGACUGAAUGCAUCCAGGAAUAGUCUGGGGCAAGAGGGGCAGGUGUCCAUUAUCUAGGGACUUAUAGAGCCCUAUAGGCAGUGGUACAGGUGUCCAUUAUCUAGGGACUUAUAGAGCCCUAUAGGCAGUGGUUCAGGUGUCCAUUAUCUAGGGACUUAUAGAGCCCUAUAGUCAGUGGUACAGGUGUCCAUUAUCUAGGGACUUAUAGAGCCCUAUAGGCAGUGGUACAGGUGUCCCUUAUCUAGGGACUUAUAGAGCCCUAUAGUCAGUGGUACAGGUGUCCAUUAUCUAGGGACUUAUAGAGCCCUAUAGGCAGUGGUACAGGUGUCCCUUAUCUAGGGACUUAUAGAGCCCUAUAGGCAGUGGUACAGUUGUUCCUUAUCUAGGGACUUAUAGAGCCCUAUAGUCAGUGGUACAGGUGUCCAUUAUCUAGGGACUUAUAGAGCCCUAUAGGCAGUGGUACAGGUGUCCCUUAUCUAGGGACUUAUAGAGCCCUAUAGUCAGUGGUACAGGUGUCCCUUAUCUAGGGACUUAUAGAGCCCUAUAGGCAGUGGUACAGGUGUCCCUUAUCUAGGGACUUAUAGAGCCCUAUAGGCAGUGGUACAGUUGUUCCUUAUCUAGGGACUUAUAGAGCCCUAUAGUCAGUGGUACAGGUGUCCAUUAUCUAGGGACUUAUAGAGCCCUAUAGUCAGUGGUACAGGUGUCCCUUAUCUAGGGACUUAUAGAGCCCUAUAGUCAGUGGUAAUAGAGCCCUAUAGUCAGUGGUACAGGUGUCCCUUAUCUAGGGACUUAUAGAGCCCUAUAGGCAGUGGUAAUAGAGCCCUAUAGUCAGUGGUACAGGUGUCCAUUAUCUAGGGACUUAUAGAGCCCUAUAGUCAGUGGUACAGGUGUCCCUUAUCUAGGGACUUAUAGAGCCCUAUAGUCAGUGGUACAGGUGUCCAUUAUCUAGGGACUUAUAGAGCCCUAUAGGCAGUGGUACAGUUGGAUCUCAACAGAAGUGGGGGAGAUUCCCAAGUCGACAAACAUGAGGCUUGUUUGGCAGAGGAGUGUAAAUAACAAACACAUACAAAAUUGAAGUUAUUAUAUUUUACAUUAUUUGAACACUUUAAAAAAAAAAAAAUCUGUAUAGCUGUAAAAUAGAGAGUUAUUACACUUAAAAUGGUGUGUUAUAUUCAUUGGCUCUACAGAAAAAAAAUGGCAAUAUUUUUUUUCAUAUCCAGAUUGCAUAAAUAGCUGAGUCAAUAAGCAUGUACAUGUUUCUGGAAUGUUUUACCUUUUUACUUCUUUAUUUUGUUUAUAUUUACAAAUCAUAUUUUGUAUGAAGUGUUUCCAAGUUUUCUUCAUUUACCUUUAAGUACUUACUUUAUAAGUAGUUAAUUAAAGCUGACUUCUGUAGACUACCAUAUUAGUAGUUAUACUAUUUAUUUAAAUAUUGGUAUUUUAAAUGGUAUUGAUGAUGUAUCUAACAGAUACCUAAAAGCUGAUAUAUAAUCUACAUGUGUAGAUUCCCUGAUAAAACUUGGGAUACUGUUGUGUACUGUUACAUAUGUGCUCAGUGUUAUGUACCUUGAAUAAAUAUGGUUUAUAUGAUGAA